rnacentral:lncRNA from 1 species
UCUCUUGAGAUCAUAUUGAUGAUCCAAGUAGCUCCCAUCCUUUGGAAUAGGCAAUCACAAAAAACAUAAGCAAUCAUCAAAUAAGCCUCCUAAGAGAUCCUCAAUGUGUCUUGUAUCUUUCACUUUGGAUGAACAUGGCAAUGGUUUCUCAAAUUUGAGCUCUCAUAGAAUUCCCUAGCACAAAAGCACACACAUCAAAAG